rnacentral:rRNA from 1 species
CUAAGAAUAUUCCGCAAUGGACGAAAGUCUGACGGAGCGACGCCGCGUGGAUGAAGAAGGCCGAAAGGUUGUAAAAUCCUUUUGUUGGGGAAGAAUAAGCGUGGGAGGGAAUGCCCGCGUGAUGACAUGAACCGACGAAUAAGUCCCGGCUAACUACGUGCCAGCAGCCGCGGUAACACGUAGGGGACAAGCGUUAUUCGGAAUUACUGGGCGUAAAGGGCAUGUAGGCGGCCUGAUAAGCCUGGCGUGAAAGUCACCGGCUCAACCGGUGGAUUGCGUCGGGAACUGUUGGGCUUGAGUCAUGGAGAGGAAGGCAGAAUUCCUGGUGUAGGGGUGAAAUCUGUAGAGAUCAGGAAGAAUACCAGUGGCGAAGGCGGCCUUCUGGCCAAUGACUGACGCUGAGGUGCGAAAGUGUGGGGAUCAAACA